GUUUAAUUAAGAUUGUCUUAUCCCCUGCUAUGUUAAUAGCUUGCUACACCCUGCAAGAGCCUCCUGUAUGUGAUUAAAGUUCAAUUUAGAGAUUGAGAUACAAUUAGUUAAGGUAAAUUACAUCUGUUUGAAAGUGAAACCAGUUUGUUUGUUUUUUGGGGGGUUUUUUUCAUGCAGGCUCUGCCAGUGAUAGCCAGGGGAGGUGUGGCUAGGGCUGCAUAAACAGAAACAAAG